UACGUAGGUGACAAGCGUUGUCCGGAUUACUGGGCGUAAAGAGCGCGCAGGCGGUCGUUUAAGUCGAGUGUGAAAGCCCCCGGCUCAACUGGGGAGGUCAUUCGAUACUGAUCGACUCGAAGGCAGGAGAGGGAAGUGGAAUUCCCGGUGUAGUGGUGAAAUUCGUAGAUAUCGGGAGGAACACCAGUGGCGAAGGCGGAGACCGUGGGCCAAUACUGACGCUGAGGUGCGAAAGCGUGGGAGCAACA
rnacentral:rRNA from 1 species